rnacentral:rRNA from 1 species
AGUGAACGCUGGCGGCGUGCCUAAUACAUGCAAGUCGAACGGAGUGGCGCACGGGUGAGUAAUAUAUAGCUAAUCUGCCCCUUGCUGGGGGACAACAUUGAGAAAUGACUGCUAAUACUCCAUAGCAAGGGAUGAGCCCAUAUCGUAUCAGCUGGUCGGUGGGGUAACGGCCUACCGAGGCUAGGACGCGUAGCUGGUCUGAGAGGAUGUUCAGGUUGGGUGUAAGAGAGAGACGGGCCAAACUCGGGCGGGAGGAAGCAGUAGGGAAGAAUGAUCAGCGGGAGACAGCCGGAGGCAGCAAGGGCGGGUGGUGGAGGACACCUUUCUGAGAGUAAACUCCUUUUGGUAGGGAAGCGGUACCUAACUAAUAAGCACCGGCUAACUCCGUGCCAGCAGCCGCGGUAAUUC